CAGUCGCCGCGGUAAUACGAAGGGUGCAAGCGUUAAUCGGAAUUACUGGGCGUAAAGCGUGCGUAGGCGGUGAGUUAAGUCUGCUGUGAAAUUCCCGGGCUCAACCUGGGAAUGGCAGUGGAUACUGGCUCGCUAGAGUGUGUCAGAGGAUGGUGGAAUUCCCGGUGUAGCGGUGAAAUGCGUAGAGAUCGGGAGGAACAUCAGUGGCGAAGGCGGCCAUCUGGGACAACACUGACGCUGAGGCACGGAAGCGUGGGGAGCAAACAGGAUUAGAUACCCCCGUAGUCCCUGUCUCUUAUAC
rnacentral:rRNA from 1 species